CCCCAGCAUCCUCAUCACCUUGCCCAGCUCCUUGGUGCUGAUGCAGCCAUCCUCUGCAUCCUGGACGAAGAUGUCAAAGGCUGCCUUGAACUCUGCAACACACAGCACAGCACAGCACAUGACCACGGCAAAAAACGAUGCUUGCAGUGAUACGGUGAAAGACGUCCCCACGUCACCUGCUGCACCUAACUCCACUUGACAUGCAAGAAACAUGCAGACGGAAUGAGCUCUAUCGACGGUGGGAUGGCAGCCUGACAGAGCCUGGAGAAGCCCACAUCAAUAGGAGCAUACGGAGUGCAGUUUUCACUGGAGCACUUCACCAAUUUCCUCUUACAGAGGAAGGGGCUGCUGACGAAAGAGCCAACCAUAUCUCCACACAUGAUCAGACAGUGCAUCUCAAAUCCUCAAAUCACCCGCACACCGUUUUUGAGAGGUUGCCAUAGAAACCCGGCCGGGUUGUAGCUGCAGACAAGGAGAGGAGAUGAGGAGAGCUAUCACUGUAUUCCUCGUUCUUCUCCUUUGCCUUUUGCACAGACGAAUGCACACACGCACACACAGGUUUGGCAAUCAUUAUUUAUUCCCUGGUAACCUUAAUAAGAACCAUUUAUGCAAAUGUUAUGGAUGACUUAAUCCACGUGUCCAAAUGAUUAUAUUUCAUGUGUCAUAGCGAAGAUAAAAAUGAACUUCGUUGGGUGCCUUGACUUGGGACGGAUCAGGUUCGGAAUAGUAUUCAAGGUUUGCACUAGCCUAGCCAGCAAAUACUGUAAGUUCAUAUGGUUUUUUCAAAAUAGGUUCAAUUCACCAUUUUGUUAGGUUAAAUGGUCUUUCUAUUGGAAAAGGGACAAAAUAUCAAAUCGUCAAUUUUUUAAGAAUCUGGCCCCUGCAUUCUUCAAACCAAGUGUGUAAUAUUGUUUUCAUGUUACAGCGUGCAACCACAGUUCCUCUGUUAGUGAUAUUUAAUUCAUUUUAUUGCAUAAAGGUUGUCAGAGAAAUGAUUUGCUGUUUUAUUGUCAUGCAGGCCAGGUGUCUUCCUCUAUGUCUCUCCUCUGUCUCUCUCUCCUUGGUUGGAGGGUUACUCAUCAGCCUCUCUUCCCCCCCUCUCUCUCC